GACUUUGUCGCAUUGAGCUGCAGAUGGUACAGCAGAUGGUUUAUCAUCUAUUUUACUCUAAAUUUGACCAUAAUUUACAAAAUGAACAUCAUGCUACUGAACUGAAUUGAAGUAUCCUUCAGUGAUAGACAUAAUUAGACUCAGUCCCUAACAAUCAUGUUAUUCUUUUAAUAGGUUUUCUGUCACUUCACAAUAGUUAUAACCUGUGUUUUGUUUGUAAUUAUAUAUGUGGAAAUGAGUGUGUAUCUGGCAUUUUAUUCUAUUCUUUGUUCUUUUGGUAUGCCUUGUAAAGCACUUUGUAAUUGCUUGUUUUAAUAAGUGCAGCGACUGCUGCGAGGAACCUAUUGUAAUUGUAAGGAUUAUUAUUAUUAUGUAUUUUAUUAUUAUUUAUAUUUUUGUACAAGCGCAUUUUUGAGGGACUAGGGAUGCUCAAAAACUCACCAAACAUGGCACACACAUCAAAACUGGCGAGAAUCGCGACCUGAUAUGGGUCCCAGGUUUGGGUGUGGCAAAUUGACUUGAUAGCGCCCCCUAACAGUUUUCAAAGUCAUCUCUAGACUUAAAAUAAAAACUUGGAGCCAUACCCAAAACCCAACAGGAAGUCAGCCAUUUUGAAUUUAGCAUGCUAUUUUUCGCCAUUUACAGGCUCCGUACUUGAAUGAAAUCCUCCUAGAGAAUUACACAGAUCGACUUCAAAUUUGGGCAGUGCAAUCUAAAGACCUCUGCGAUGCUAAAUUGCGAAGCUCUUGAGGUUUCCUCAAAUGGUGUUGCAGCAAAUUCUGUGUUCCAAAAUUAGUAACAGUGCUAUCUUGUUCCAAAAUUAGUAACAGUGCUACCCUGAUUAUAUGCUACAUUCCUAUAUUGGAAUGUAACAUAUAAUUAGUGGGCGUUCUCUAGUACCACGUAGUGGACACAGGAAGUGGCAUUCAACUCUUUCGUGCAACGUCCAAAAUGCUGGAAGAUUCAGAAUCGCAUCAGCUGACCUCCAGCAAUGGCACCACAAAUGCGGAAUGCCGUAACUUGCAGGAGGUGCGAGCACUCACUUAUCUCUGCUUGCAGCUUUAAUAAUAAUAUUAUUAUUAUUAUUAUUAUUAUUAUUAUCAUCAUCAUCAUCAAGCACACAACAUAUGUUUAACAGAUUGAACCUUCAUUGCACAACAUGAAACUAAAAGCCUACACAGAAAAUAAGGAUUUGCUACAAAACGUGGUGUUUGUGGUCAGUCAGCUCUUUGAUCAGGUGACAGCCAGGCAUUUCCCAUCAUGCCCUGGGUCUUGCAGUCGGUUGGAGAGUAGCUGCGGCGCCUGGCCCUAGAAACUGCAGCAGCCUCGAUCUCGUCAAAGCAAGUCGGACACAAAUCUGCAUCUGCAAUGCAUUGUGCGGCAAUUGCCGGUGAUCUAUUCUGCGCAGAUCUUGCCCAUCUCGAACAAGCCUAUUGAGUGAUGAUUUCGGGCACAGGGUUACACAUGGAUGUAUUAUUAGAACUGGAUACUGGACCCCAAAAUGGCGCCUAUUCCUUCCAAUGAGAAUUACUCGCCUGGCACAUAAGCCAAAAAUAUUUUCUAGCUUUCGGGUUUACUUCUGGGGUAUGCGGCCCACUGAAUAUGCACAGUAGUGUUUCUCCUGCUGGCCCUGCCCUCAGCCCAUAGACUUUACAUUGUGAUGACAUCACAGAUUUUUGAAUCGCUUUUCUCGGCUCAAGCUAAGUUUUACAAAUAUAAAACCUCCAUGGAUCAAAAGUUCAUAAUAGAAAAAGUCAUAAUUGAACUUGUUUGCAGUUCGAGGUGUCCUGUCAACAGUUUUAUAGAUGACACUUUUAUAAUGGUGGCCUAUGGGGAAAAUGCUUUUUGGGCCACAGGGAAAUUUUUUGUUGCAAUACCACUGGGGAAAAAAUGGCUGCAAGGCUGAGUGGCAACGCCAUAUUCAGUUCUUAUUAUACAUCCAUAGGGUUACAGCAUGGAUGUAUAAAGAGAACUAGAUACAGUGUCUGAGGCAGUUCAUCUCUAUGAAAGCUGCUCAGUGACGCAUGAAGCCAAAAAAGUUCAACUUCCGUUCAAUCUGAAAACAUUGUGCACCGUUUUGUUACGGUUUCCGGGUUGAACGACGGGUUUCCUCAAAACGGUGUGCAACAGGCUUUGAUGUAUGUUUUCUCUUGUUUGGUGCAUGUGUCAGUGUUGUUCCCCAAUCAGCAGCGACCUGUAUAUAAACCCUGAUGUAUUAAAAAGGCAUUGUGCCUCUGACGUAUUAAAAAGGCAUUGUGCACAAUGCAAGCAAGCAGCGAUAAGUGAGCGCAACAAGAGUUCUUUACAAAUGCGUCCAUUAGAAGACAUGUUUGUCUUGAGUAUUUUAUAGUAAAGUUUUUUAAUAGAAUAAGCUAAUAACAAUUUAAUUUUAACUUUUUAUAUGGGCUAUUGUAUGUGUUAAUUUACAUCUUUAUCAUGUUUUUGAAAGCAUUUCAACAUUAUUUUAUAGUUUAUCUAAUUAGCUUAAUAGGUAAAAUGUGUGCCCCCUUUCUGUUUCAGCAAUCCCUUUGGAACAGGCUGCAUCCAAUCCCCAAGCUCCACUAGGGAUCAACACGGUUAUUAUACCGGGCACCUCCACACCACCGACGCCAGAUCGUCCCCCGUACAUCCACUUUCGCUCUGCCGGUGAUCACCGCCUCAGUCUGCCCUUCAGAUCACCCGGACCUCAGCUACCACGCCACUCUCGCCAUCCGGCCGAUCUUCGCCUCCGGACACUGCCGGCCAUCCACACCACACACCCAGCUUCAGUGAUCCUCCACCUGGUCGGCUUUGCCUCCCCGCUACGCUCGCCAGACCAGAGCCCAAUCCAGAGCCCACUCCGUCCGGAGUGCCAUCAGUCACGCCUCUGACUCGGCUCAGUCGGAUCCUCGGGGAGGCCACGGGUGACACCGGAUCUAAAAUUCAUUUUCACGUGUAAUAAUCUGCACAAUAAAAACCGUCACAUUUA